CACGUAGGGCGCAAGCGUUGUCCGGAAUUAUUGGGCGUAAAGAGCUCGUAGGCGGUUUGUCGCGUCUGCUGUGAAAACUCGGGGCUUAACCCCGGGCCUGCAGUGGGUACGGGCAGACUAGAGUGCUGUAAGGGAGACUGGAAUUCCUGGUGUAGCGGUGAAAUGCGCAGAUAUCAGGAGGAACACCGGUGGCGAAGGCGGGUCUCUGGGCAGUAACUGACGCUGAGGAGCGAAAGCGUGGGGAGCGAACAGG
rnacentral:rRNA from 1 species